UCUCCGUAGGUGAACCUGCGGAGGGAUCAUUACAGAGUUCAUGCCCUACCGGGUAGAUCUCCCACCCUAUGUUAUUAUUACUUUGUUGCUUUGGCGGGCCGUUAGGCUCCGGCCCGACUACCGGCCCCGGCUGGUAAGCGCCCGCCAGAGGACCCAAAACCCUGAAUAUUAGUGUCGUCUGAGUACUAUAUAAUAGUUAAAACUUUCAACAGCGGAUCUCUUGGUUCUGGCAUCGAUGAAGAACGCAGG
rnacentral:misc_RNA from 1 species